GCAAACGAAACACGAACACGCUGAGAACAGCAAGGCAUGCUGCAUCAGAUCUGCCGUAAAUUGCUCAUCCUGAUAUGUAAGACUACUGAGAGCACCACAGAUACAGAGGAGAAAGUGUGAAUUACCAUAUAAGACACAUGCGAGCACUUCUUUUAGGGUUAGAAGAUCAUAAGGACCUUUAAGGUGACACUGCCAGAUGGUAAAAUCUCACACAAACAAAACCAGAAGUGCCUGUACGCCGCAUGGAGCUAACAAAGAGCCUACUCCAAGGUGUUACCUGGUGUAAUGAAACCAGAUGUUUCCAUCGGAAUAGGCCUCCCUCAUUUGAAAUGUGUUGCUGCAAUAGCCUGAUUUGUAUAUCCAUCAGUUCAAAGUGAAGAAGAAAAAGAGCGGUUGGGGAUGUUAGGUUUACUUGGAGGGGAGGUGUGAGGAAAGGGGAGAUACAGACACUUCAAAAUGCAAGAAAGACAAAGAAAUAAUCACCCAUCAUUGGGAUGUUCCUCAACCCCAGAAGAAGGAGCAUUGAGAAGGCAAAGAUGAACCUGGGAUAAGCCAGUUUCUGCACUGAGAGUAGGAAAGCAUAUCCUCCAGUCUCAUGAAGCUCCCUGGCAAAGGUGAAGAGUUAGGAUGGCCAGGAAUGAACAGACUCCAAACUCCAUGUAAAACAGAGAUGACCCAGAGAGACGUACAGGCCAGGAAGCAAGGUUAGCAGUAAGAUUAAUGUCAUGGAAAAUGCAGACAGAGAACCUUGAGAACAAGAACAAAACCCACAUGGCCAGAUGGGACUAGAGCUGGGUUGACUCCUGGUUGGGGCAAGGGCAAGUCCAAGUAUGUGGCACACAGGAUGCAGCGCACCCACCCUGCAAUUUAGAUGCAGCUGUUGGUACCUCUUUAUGAAGAAAUGUCUAUUUUACCACUCAGGAAACCUCUGACAGGUUUGAUGCACACUUCUUCUGAUUCUCUGGGAGCAACCAAAGGUGAGGCUUUGCUGUACAGAACACAGUUGUUCAGUUCACAAGCUUCUGCUGUCCCAGAAGGUGCACGGUGUACCUGCAACUAUGCAAUUUUUAUUGUAGGGCUAUGUAGUGUGUAGAGAUUAAACAACUCUGAUAUUAACAAAGACAGGGAAUGGAGAAGGUUCAUCUCCUUACGGUGCAGUGCACACUAUUGAUGCAGAACUAAAACUGUAGAAACAGAAGCCAAAAACAGUUGAAAUAUUUGUUUAAAGAAGCACAAUCAAAUUAUUAUGUUUGGCCAAGAUAUAAAAUACUCUUUUAACCUUCAUAUUUGUAAAUACAAUGUCAUAAACAUAUAUAUAUAUUAGAUUAGAAAUAAGGAAGGAUUUUUCCUUCCUUGAAAAAUCACAGUUCCACCAGUUACACACGCCAGGAAUGAGCCACAACAGCAGAACUUCAUACAGCAAUACUUUACUCCCUACGAAAGCAUUACUUAUAGCAAAGUGUUUGGAAGAUGAUGCCAAUAACAAGUGCCUUCAGCCACGGGCCCUGAGGAUUCCAAAGUGCAUCGGAGAAGCAAACAGGAUCUUCUUCCUUCACAUUCUUUUUCCAGAUAUGUGUAGGCCCUGUGCACUCCUCCCCCAGUUCCCCAUACUUUGAGUGAGCAGAGUCUGUUCAUAGCCAUGUUUGCCUCUAAAAAUGUAUGCUUUGGUACAUAAGAUGGAAAAUUCAAGACUUUAGCCAAAAAGUGUUUUAUAUAAUAAACACAGGAUACAAUCACACCGAGCCCCUAAUGAAGUCUAAGUAGUACAAAUGCCAGGCUGAUUCCACAGACAAUGUGGUUUUGUAGAACAAACACGAAUCACAUAAAAAUACAGCUGAGAAAUGUAAAUUCAUCUCACCAGGGUGUAAAGGCAAACCCAGCCAAAGGCCAGAGACAAUUUGCUGGUUUGUCUUGCUCUGGCUGGUGUUUUGCAGGGUAGCUCUAUCCAUGUUGGAGUUCUCAGUGCAGCAAAUGUAAGCACAGCACCACACACAUCUCUUUAAGCCCCAAAAGAAGAAGUCUUAAGCAGUGAAUAGCAAAUUGCUACAACUGAGUGAAGGACUCUGAGCACCUGGCCAUUUUUGAGACAGGAAAAAACAAGCCAUUCUGAACAUCCUUACAAGUAAUUGGAAACAUACUGUUCUCUAUCAGUAUGGUCACGAGAGCCAAAUAUUGACUAACAGCUCUAUGAUGAGUAUAACCUGAACAAACACAGGUUGUAAUAAAUGGCAGAGGCUGCUCACUCCAGUAAAUAUACCAUAAACAGAAGUACGCAGGGGAACUGCUCAAACUCUGUUCAUCCACCGCAGAAUAAGAUAAGAGAGCAGAAAUCUCUGCAAGGUGGAAGCAAGGAUCAAUGAUAUGCUGUGCCACUGAAGAUGAAAACUGUACACAGCAAACACAGGAGUUUUCAGCCUCUUCCAAGAAAACGACAAAGUGCAGGACCGUACAGAAUGAGUCUCCUAUUGAGGGCCUCGUAUGAACAGUUGGAAAUGAGUAUGGAUGUACCACUGUGGUCUGAAACUGAAAUACUUUGAGUACCUGACAGCAUUUGCUGACAUCAUCCAGCAUUUUAACCUUAAAAGCCAGUGAGAAAUAAACCAUGGAUCCAGUGCCAAGGAACCAGUUGUGCAAAAGACAGUUAUCUGUGCACCUUAAUUAUGUUGUCUAUGCUGUGCUGUCGUGAACCCAGGCCAAGCUGAAAGUGGGGAAGAUGGGUGCUGCUCCACCCCUUUUCCACCACUCAGUCAUCGCUGUGCAAUCAGCAACAUCUGCUCAUUUCCAGAUCCUAGUCAAGAGACAAACAGCAUUGAAAAUCACUGCCCUUCAGCUAGCCAGCACCCAACUUUCAAGCUGAAAUCCUCAGGGCUGGGGACUGUGUGAGAAGUGCCUGAGAAUGAAAAAAAAAAAAGCCAGAAAUCUGGGUGUAUGUCUUUCCUUAAAGAACCUGGGGAAUAUUUCAACUAUCCCCACCACCCCACCCUUGGGAAAAUGAGUUAUUAAAAAUGCUGGAAUGCAAUCUGUGUCAAAGGAGACAUUACAUCAGUCACUUGUUCGCCUGCUUUUUGUUGUUGUUGAAGUCCUCAGUAAAGCAAAAGAAUGAAAU
ensembl:lncRNA